AUCACUCCGGCUAUAGCUCCGGCGUUUGUUCCAUGGACGAACUAUCCAUCAAUAUUCAAUUUUAGGGUCGAGGUAAUUCUUCGUUCUCCGCCCGACGCUUCCUCUUUUUUUUUUUUUUUUUUUCUCAUUCCAUCUCUGAAAAUUACUGAGUUUUAUGUGCGCCGCUUCCGCAAAGGUCGUUGGGUUCGCGAUUUGUUGUCGGAAUGCAAAAUCAUUCCUCUCCUUCCAAAUUGACCAGAGAACGGAAGCCACAAUGUCGGGGAAGGUUGUUCUACCAAGUGGAUACGGUAAAGCUUUUUGUCUGUGCGUGAGUAUGUAAAUAAGCCGAUUCACUUACGAAAAGCAAGAACAAUAUUACUCGUGACUUUUCAUCCAUGGAAGUCGCUUUUUCCAUCUUGCAAGAGCUCGGAUACGAC
rnacentral:lncRNA from 1 species